GAGGACAACAGAGGCCCAAAUGGCCGGACAGCUGACCCUCAGGGCAGAGAAACCACUGGGGGAUUUUUCCUUUCGGAAAUCAAGAAAGAGAAUCAUGAUUCCAGACAGAGGAAAUGAUAAUUCAUGAAAUCGGC
rnacentral:lncRNA from 11 species